rnacentral:rRNA from 1 species
AGCAUAUCAAUAAGCGGAGGAAAAGAAACCAACAGGGAUUGCCCCAGUAACGGCGAGUGAAGCGGCAACAGCUCAAAUUUGAAAUCUGGCCCCUAGGGCCCGAGUUGUAAUUUGCAGAGGAUGCUUUUGGCGAGGUGCCUUCCGAGUUCCCUGGAAUGGGACGCCAUAGAGGGUGAGAGCCCCGUCUGGUUGGAUGCCGAGCCUUUGUAAAGCUCCUUCGACGAGUCGAGUAGUUUGGGAAUGCUGCUCUAAAUGGGAGGUAUAUGUCUUCUAAAGCUAAAUACCGGCCAGAGACCGAUAGCGCACAAGUAGAGUGAUCGAAAGAUGAAAAGCACUUUGAAAAGAGGGUUAAAUAGUACGUGAAAUUGUUGAAAGGGAAGCGCUUAUGACCAGACUUGGACCCGGUGAAUCAUCCAGCGUUCUCGCUGGUGCACUUUGCCGGGCUCAGGCCAGCAUCAGUUUGCCUUGGGGGAUAAAGGCUUUGGGAACGUGGCUCCCUCGGGAGUGUUAUAGCCCAUUGCACAAUACCCUGGGGCGGACUGAGGUUCGCGCAUCUGCAAGGAUGCUGGCGUAAUGGUCAUCAGCGACCCGUCUUGAAACACGGACCAAGGAGUCGUCUUCGUAUGCGAGUGUUCGGGUGUAAAACCCCUACGCGUAAUGAAAGUGAACGCAGGUGAGAGCUUCGGCGCAUCAUCGACCGAUCCUGAUGUUCUCGGAUGGAUUUGAGUAAGAGCAUACGGGGCCGGACCCGAAAGAAGGUGAACUAUGCCUGUAUAGGGUGAAGCCAGAGGAAACUCUGGUGGAGGCUCGCAGCGGUUCUGACGUGCAAAUCGAUCGUCAAAUAUGGGCAUGGGGGCGAAAG